rnacentral:rRNA from 1 species
UACGGGGGGGGGCAAGCGUUUGUUCGGAAUUACUGGGCGUAAAGGGCUCGUAGGCGGCCAACUAAGUCAGACGUGAAAUCCCUCGGCUUAACCGGGGGAACUGCAUCUGAUACUGGAUGGCUUGAGAUUGGGAGAGGGAUGCGGAAUUCCAGGUGUAGCGGUGAAAUGCGUAGAUAUCUGGAGGAACACCGGUGGCGAAGGCGGCAUCCUGGACCAAUACUGACGCUGAGGAGCGAAAAGCCAGGGGGAGCAAAACGGG